rnacentral:rRNA from 1 species
AUUGAACGCUGGCGGCAGGCCUAACACAUGCAAGUCGAGCGGAUGAAGGGAGCUUGCUCCUGGAUUCAGCGGCGGACGGGUGAGUAAUGCCUAGGAAUCUGCCUGGUAGUGGGGGAUAACGUCCGGAAACGGGCGCUAAUACCGCAUACGUCCUGAGGGAGAAAGUGGGGGAUCUUCGGACCUCACGCUAUCAGAUGAGCCUAGGUCGGAUUAGCUAGUUGGUGGGGUAAAGGCCUACCAAGGCGACGAUCCGUAACUGGUCUGAGAGGAUGAUCAGUCACACUGGAACUGAGACACGGUCCAGACUCCUACGGGAGGCAGCAGUGGGGAAUAUUGGACAAUGGGCGAAAGCCUGAUCCAGCCAUGCCGCGUGUGUGAAGAAGGUCUUCGGAUUGUAGCACUUUAAGUUGGGAGGAAGGGCAGUAAGUUAAUACCUUGCUGUUUUGACGUUACCAACAGAAUAAGCACCGGCUAACUUCGUG